UACGUAGGGUGCGAGCGUUGUCCGGAAUUAUUGGGCGUAAAGAGCUUGUAGGCGGUUGUCGCGUCUGGCCGUGAAAAUCCGAGCUCACCUCGGACUUGGCGGUGGGUGACGGGCAGACUAGAGUGUGGUAGGGGAGGACUGGAAUUCCAUGGUGUAGCGGUGGAAAUGCGCAGAUAUCAGGAGGAACACCGGUGGCGAAGGCGGUCUCUGGGCAUUACCUGACGCUGAGGAGCGAAAGUGUGGGAGGCGAACAGG
rnacentral:rRNA from 1 species